GUUAGGAAUAUUGGACAAUGGGCGCAAGCCUGAUCCAGCCAUGCCACGUGAGUGAUGAAGGCCUUCGGGUUGUAAAGCUCUUUAGCCGAUGAUUAUAAUGACUGUAGUCGGAAAAUAAGCCCCGGCUAACUUCGUGCCAGCAGCCGCGGUAAUACGAAGGGGGCGAGCGUUAUUCGGAAUCACUGGGCGUAAAGCGUGCGUAGGCGGCUUUGCAAGUUGGGAGUGAAAGCCCAGGGCUCAACCCUGGAAUUGCUCUCAAAACUGCAAGGCUCGAAUUCGGGAGAGGAUAGCGGAAUUGUCAGUGUAGCAGUGAAAUGCGUAGAUAUUGACAGGAACACCAGUGGCGUAAGCGGCUAUCUGGACCGAUAUUGACGCUGAGGCACGAAAGCGUGGGGAUCAAACAGGAUUAGAAACCCGAGUAGUCC
rnacentral:rRNA from 1 species